GUCAUUAGUAUAAAUGGAAAGUACACCGUCAUAAGCGGAUGGUCUUGGUUCGAAUCCAAUGAUGGCAUU
rnacentral:tRNA from 1 species